GAGGGUAUAGCUAAGAGGUAGAGCACAUGCUUAGCAUCCAUGAGGUCCUGGGUUUGAUCCCCAGUAUCUCUA
rnacentral:tRNA from 1 species